AUACCAGUCCUGUGAUAGGUAUGCUGCCUGGGCUGAAGGGCGCAAAGCCUUUGAUAUGGUCCCUCACCACAUUCUUCUCUCUAAAUUGGAGAGGUAUGGAUUUGAAGGAUGGACUGUUAGGUGGAUCAAGAAUUGGUUGGCUGGUCUCAGCCAA